AUUGAACGCUGGCGGCAUGCCUUACACAUGCAAGUCGAACGGCAGCACGGGAGCAAUCCUGGUGGCGAGUGGCGAACGGGUGAGUAAUAUAUCGGAACGUGCCCAGUCGUGGGGGAUAACGCAGCGAAAGCUGUGCUAAUACCGCAUACGAUCUACGGAUGAAAGCGGGGGAUCGCAAGACCUAGCGCGAUUGGAGCGGCCGAUAUCAGAUUAGCUAGUUGGUGAGGUAAAGGCUCACCAAGGCGACGAUCUGUAGCUGGUCUGAGAGGACGACCAGCCACACUGGAACUGAGACACGGUCCAGACUCCUACGGGAGGCAGCAGUGGGGAAUUUUGGACAAUGGGCGCAAGCCUGAUCCAGCAAUGCCGCGUGCAGGAUGAAGGCCUUCGGGUUGUAAACUGCUUUUGUACGGAACGAAACGGUGAGCUCUAAUACAGUUUGCUAAUGACGGUACCGUAAGAAUAAGCACCGGCUAACUACGUGCCAGCCGCCGCAGUAAAAC
rnacentral:rRNA from 1 species